rnacentral:rRNA from 1 species
AGCUUGGUGGUUGUAGCAUGAGUGAAA